GUCAUUUAUAAAAAUACUAUUGGGGCUGGGCAAAGCGGCUCUUGCCUGUAAUCCCAGCACUUUGGGAGGCUGCGGCGGGUGGAUCACAAGGUCAGGAGUUUGAGACCA